AAUUGAAUUGAGGGGCAACUCUCAACUGGCCAGUUAAGGAAAAACCGAGAGGUUCAAGCUUAAAGGGCAGAAAGUUCCGCUGAGUAGCGCUAAAAUAGUGGAACGGGAGGCUUGGCGGUAGCGCAUUAACGACGAGCCAA
ncrna:unclassified sequences IMES-2 RNA motif